UUGGGAUUGUACUAGCUUCCCAAAUAAUCAAAUAAUCAACUUUCCAAAUAAUUUACUAGCACCUUUGAUAAAUCAAGAUUAUGAGAGUCACUUUUUAAAUAAUUUGUAACAUCAUGUUUGGUAAUUAAUCUUAAAUUAUGUUGCUUAUACAGAUAAUGACUAAAAUGGUAUAUAAUUAUUGUAAUAAUAAAAAUUUCAAGUAUUUUAUUAUUGGUAAAUUGAAUUCAUAUAUAUCAGAUUUUUAUUGAAAAAUUAUUUUUCAAUAAAACGAAUGAGUAUUCUUAAUUCUCUAAAGAAAUUAUUGUGAAAUUUUGUCAUUGUCAGCCACUGCAUCGCUGCCGUCUUCGCAGAAUAAUUUAAUUUUGAUAUUCUACAUUAUAAAAUUUGAUAUUCUUUAAAAUAAUUUAAUUUUGAAAUUCUACCUUAUAAAAUUAGAUUAUCAAAUGAUUGGAUUUUUUUUUUUUUUGAAUACUGAUUAAUCAUCAGAUUACUGGAUUGCACAGAUAUUUACAACAACUGCUAUUGUAGCAGAGAUAUUACACUGAUAUUUACAAUUAGAUAUACAUGAUUGGGACUUACAUUAUUACAUUGAAUUCUAUAAAGUACAUGCCCAGACAAAUAACCCCUCACAGGAGAGGGAUGUCUAUACUCCACUUGCAUUUCGGCCUUGGCCGAAGUGGCCAAAUGAUUGGAUUUUGAAAAGCUAUUAUUUACUACUUUUAAGAAUGAUAGAGCCCCAAUCAUCUUAUACAAGUGAGUAUAAAUUGAUGUACAAAUUGUUAAAUAAUCACUUUUAAAUUUAGUUUACCAGACAUAUAUUAGGUGUCAGUGACUAUUUUUUGGAAAAAUUGGUGAAUUCUUUUUGUUUGUUAGAAUUGGGUGUUUCAUGUAAGUGAAUUGCUCUAUCAUGUCCGUUGUAUUGUAUUUAUGAUUCAACAAUUCAGAUCUUCAAUGGAAAAUGGGAUUUUCUCCAAUUCCAAACAAAAUCCUAAAAAAAAAAAAAAGUGAAAUUAAGUUUGAACUAAAUUCCAGACAUGAGUUUUGUUGUCCAGAUCCAGAACAUGACUCUGUAUGAGGUUGGCCUGUUGUUAUUGAUUUAUCUUAAUUUUGGCAUUAUUAUAGUCAAAGCUAUUAAUUUUUGAAUUUUUUUUUUAUAAUUAUUUGCAUUUUAGUCUAGAGAGGAUUAUACAGCUUUAUUUAACAACAACAAUGUAUUAUAAAGUUUGAUACAAAGUUUGAACCCCGCUGGUAUGUCACCAAUAAAUAAUGGCUUUUUGUAUGAAUUAAAUUGAUUUUAUUAUCCUAUUAUUUAAUAUCUAGUUAUAUCAUUUAGAAUACAUAUAUAUUGCAUUCAGAUUGGUGUAUAAUCCCAGAGCUUGCUUCAUAACCAACAGCAGCAUCCUCCUGUUAUCUGAUAAAGAAGCAAAGUCAUUACCAAAAUUGAAAAUGUCUUAUGUUUGGGGAGCAAUCUUUGUUAGGCAAAGGAAUAAUGAAGGCUACUCGCCAACUGCCAAGCUCUAAUCCAACUUCAGGAACUCUUGUAUUCUUCUUUGUUAUUAUGUUAAUGCUUGAAUAAGCUUUCUGUUUUCCCGAUUGCGCAACCCCAGUCCACAACUAACAAAGAUUGUUAGCUAGUCUGGUCAUUGAUAAUCAUACUUAUUAAUCAAGGUUACAGAACUCAUCAUUGUUACUUUAAACAUUAGUCUAUCCUCAUUCAAUAUUUGAACUUUUUUUUUCCUCAUUUAAAAGGAAAAAAAAAAAAAAAGUAUUACAUUAAUGUAAAUCACAUACAUUUCUAAUAUAAAGGAGGUCUCAAUAUCAAGACCUGUUAUAUUAUCCUGAAUCCUUGCCAGGGUUUCAAAACUUUUGUCUAAUUUGUUCACUAGUAAUUUCGGACCCAUUGUUGCGUGUGGCAAUCAAUGAAUAACAAACACAGCAAUAUGCCAAAGCAUUAUUGCUGAUUGCCCAUGUGGGUCAAUCUCAUAAUCCACAUGCUUUUGUUGCCAUGGAGGGGAAAGAAACAAUCAGAGGGAUAGGAAAGGUUGAACGAUUUAAG
rnacentral:lncRNA from 1 species